rnacentral:rRNA from 1 species
GACGAACGCUGGCGGCGUGCUUAACACAUGCAAGUCGAACGGAAAGGCCCUGCUUUUGUGGGGUGCUCGAGUGGCGAACGGGUGAGUAACACGUGAGUAACCUGCCCUUGACUUUGGGAUAACUUCAGGAAACUGGGGCUAAUAUCGGAUAGGAGCUCCUGCUGCAUGGUGGGGGUUGGAAAGUUUCGGCGGUUGGGGAUGGACUCGCGGCUUAUCGGCUUGUUGGUGGGGUAGUGGCUUACCAAGGCUUUGACGGGUAGCCGGCCUGAGAGGGUGACCGGCCACAUUGGGACUGAGAUACGGCGCAGACUCCAACGGGAGGCAGCAGUGGGGAAUAUUGCACAAUGGGCGGAAGCCUGAGGCGGCAACGCCGCGUGCGGGAUGACGGCCUUCGGGUUGUAAACCGCUGUCGCCUGUGACGAAGCGUGAGUGACGGUAAUGGGUAAAGAAGCACCGGCUAACUACGUG